rnacentral:rRNA from 1 species
UACGUAGGGGGCAAGCGUUGUCCGGAAUCAUUGGGCGUAAAGAGCGUGUAGGCGGCCCGAUAAGUCCGCCGUGAAAGUCCAGGGCUCAACCCCUGGAAUGCCGGUGGAAACUGUCGGGCUGGAGUCCGGAAGAGGCGAGUGGAAUUCCUGGUGUAGCGGUGAAAUGCGCAGAUAUCAGGAGGAACACCAAUGGCGAAGGCAGCUCGCUGGGACGGUACUGACGCUGAGACGCGAAAGCGUGGGGGAGCAAACAGG